UGACAGUACUCCUACGGGGAGGCAGCAGUGGGGGAAUAUUGCACAAUGGGCGCAAGCCUGAUGCAGCCAUGCCGCGUGUGUGAAGAAGGACCUUCGGGUUGUUAAAGCACUUUCAGUCGUGAGGAAGGUAGUGUAGUUAAUAGCUGCAUUAUUUGACGUUAGCGACAGAAGAAGCACCGGCUAACUCCGUGCCAGCAGCCGCGGUAAUACGGAGGGUGCGAGCGUUAAUCGGAAUUACUGGGCGUAAAGCGCAUGCAGGUGGUUUGUUAAGUCAGAUGUGAAAGCCCGGGGCGUCAACCUCGGAAUAGCAUUUGAAACUGGCAGACUAGAGUACUGUAGAGGGGGGUAGGAAUUUCAGGUGUAGCGGUGAAAUGCGUAGAGAUCUGAAGGAAUACCGGUGGCGAAGGCGGCCCCCUCGGACAGAUACUGACACUCAGAUGCGAAAGCGUGGGGAGCAAACAGGAUUAGAUACCCUGGUAG
rnacentral:rRNA from 1 species